ACAACAUCCAGAUUCUUUGAAGACUGGAAAAGUAGUUUUCAAUCAACAGCUGUUGUUACAACAUCCAGAUUCUUUGAAGACUGGAAAAGUAGUCUUUAAUCAGUGGCUGCCUCCCCACCUUUCACGUGUUUAUCACAUCUUUAUGUUUAGAUGUGACCAAAAACUCAAUUGUGAGGAGUCUCUUCUCAUCCAAAACAUCGAAGCUAAUCGAAGCUUACAUGGGUGAGCAAGAUACUUCGGUGACUCGUGCAGUCUUUAAUCGUCGGAAAGUCACCGUUAAAGUUGUAUGCUCGACGAUUCCGUGGUAAAAUUUGAUAUAGAGCAGAGCUUUCAAUAACACCUGGUACCCACUGGAGCUCUGGUGGGUGUUCUGUUGUGAAUUGCCGGGUAUACUUUGCCAUGUUCAAGUCAAAUUUACAGAACAAAAAGCCAAAAGGUAGAGGCAAAUUUCUGUCUGUGAAUGCCUGAACUUGGAAGAACGUGAAUACUUUGGACUAAGUUUUUAUGACAAAAAUGAUAAUUUGGUGUCUGUUGCCUGCUGGUGCUGACUACAACCUCCUGGGUGUAGCCAGAAUACUAGAGAUGCAUGGUAUUAUACUCUAUCCUGCCAAGGGCAAAAAUAAGAAAGUGUAGUUUUAAGAGAAGAAGAUUUCUUUUGAAGCUCCAUCCUGAAAUAUUUGGCCAUAACUAGGAUGUUGUGGCAAGUAGGAAUGCAUGUAAAAGCUUUUGGAAAAUUGCAAUAACUACACAUGCUUUCUUCAGGUGAAAGAAUGCCAGCCGAAAGAAGCAUUUACAGAAGCUUGGAGGAGGGAUCAGUAGAAAUGUUUUUGUAGUAAAUAUUGCCAUAACCAUAAUAAAGACAGACUGCUGAAUAGAAAUGGCCUUUAUUUGACUUUGCAAGUGAUUAACAUAAUCGGACGACCGCGAAGACGUUAGGAGUUAAAAGGCGUACAAUGUAUUGUUUUUCCAAUUUUGUUCCAUAUCCCACAGCUUUUUGCGUAAUGAAGUAUGGGGUAAAAAAGAAAUCCUGCCGAAACUGCGUUGCUAUGCAUUUUUUUUCUGUUUAAUCCACUUUACUGAAUUUGGAUCUUAGCUUUUGUAAAGUAAAGUUGUUGUCUACAUGUAGCUGUUUAUAGCCGAAAAACAAAAAACUACAGCAUUGCCAACGUGGACGUAAAGUCAAUAUUUUAAAUAUCUUUCCUUUGUUUAAACAUGGGGGAAAGGUUUGUUUGCAUAAAAGAAGACAGGGAAUAAGCCAAGAAAUAUAACGACAAUGCAAUUGGAACUUGAAAAAAGGGAUGUGCAUGGCACUUGUUGGGCCCAUUCUGAUUGAGCUAUCUUUCUUUAUCAACUGUUUUCUUUAAAAGCAUCCCAAUAACUUUAUCAUCGUAGAAAUUAAUGGUCCCCGAAGGCUAGAGAAUGGUCUAGUUGGGCCUGGGAAGCUAACGGCAUUUACCAAGAGCGCAGAAACAGGACAAACAUUAAAAGAGCAGAUAACGCGCAUGAAAGAACUUUGCAAGCGCAUGGAGAAAGAAAGAAUGGAAGCGGAAAAUAAACUCGUGUAUUCUCCUGUACUAGUUCCCCUGUAUUUGAAAGUUAAAAAGGUAUAAAUAAUCGGCAAUAGAAACAGGUUUUUAUCGCAUUCCUACAAUUUUAAGGAAGUAAGGGAGUGGAGCGCUUAUUUGACAUUUUGGCUCAGGGAGUGGGCGUUCAUUUGGAGGAUGGCUAAUUCGAGCCUAGACGGAAAUACGGUAUUUCAGGAAAUAAAACUGAGCACAAAAACACCAUUUCUCUUCAUGGAUGACGCCAGGUUGACAAUGACUUUUGUAGUGACAAUAAUGUAUUUAUUCUACAAAAAGGCAAUUAAAGA